GACAGAGGCCUCAAGCGUUAGGCGGAAUCACUGGGCUUAAAGCGUGUGUAGGCGGAUCGUUAAGUGCCUUGUGAAAUCCCACGGCUUAACUGUGGAACGGCUGGGCAUACUGGCGGUCUUGAGCCAUCUAGGGGCGACUGGAACAAACGGUGGAGCGGUGAAAUGCGUAGAUAUCGUUUGGAACGCCAAUGGUGAAAACAGGUCGCUGGGGAUGAGCUGACGCUGAGGCACGAAAGCCAGGGGAGCGAACGGG
rnacentral:rRNA from 1 species